rnacentral:rRNA from 1 species
CCUACGGGGGGCAGCAGUGAGGAAUAUUGGUCAAUGGACGAGAGUCUGAACCAGCCAAGUAGCGUGAAGGAUGACUGCCCUAUGGGUUGUAAGCUUCUUUUAUCAAGGAAUAAAGUGAGGCACGUGUGCCUUUUUGUAUGUACUUUAUGAAUAAGGAUCGGCUAACUCCGUGCCAGCAGCCGCGGUAAUACGGAGGGUCCGAGCGUUAUCCGGGUUUGUUUGGUUGAAAGGGAGCGUAGAUGGGUUGUUAAGACAGUUGUGAAAGUUUCCGGCGCAAACGUAAAAUUGCAAUGGAUACUGGCAGCCUUGAGUACAGUUGAGGUAGGCGGAAUUCGUGGUGUAGCGGUGAAAUGCUUAGAUAUCACGAAGAACUCCGAUUGCGAAGGCAGCUUACUAAACGGCCACUGACAUUGAUGCUCGAAAGUGUGGGUAUCAAACAGGAUUAGAUACCCCGGUAGUC